GUAGUACCCUACUUCAAAGGGUGUCAGUCACAUACACUGAGACCUGAUUGUUGCCUUUUGGAGUAGAGUAAUGCA
rfam:Heterocephalus glaber contig89065, whole genome shotgun sequence.